UGUUUUAAUGCAAAUCAAACCCUUGGUGCGUACAUAGCCAGCACAGAUAUUCUUACACUUCACGCACCUGGCAGGCAGCUUUCCUGCCGAGGCUGCUGCUGAACUGGAUCGUUUCCUCUCCUGGCGAUUACACUUGGCUCUCUGCAACAAAAGACAACAAGAACUUCUUUACAGGUGUAGUGCUCAGAGGGAUCAGGUAACCCUGGGACUUCAGGGUGUCUCAGCUUCCAAAUCACAUCUCAAAAUGAGAACAAUACGGUGGUUUCUUUGCCUCAUAAGAGAAAGAAGUCCUGCCUGCUAUGAUUGAAACAACACCAGCCACUUGGAGCUGCUGGAAACUCUGAACUGAGCAGCCAUUAUUUCUCAGCAGAAAAAUGUUUUUAAAAAGACCUGAGGGACAUUGGACAAGAACUGGAAUAGGACUUCUUUUUUGCAAAAGUAUCAUCUGACAAUACCAGCAACUUCAUAUAAUGGCAACAAAAAGUAAAUAAACAGUCUUCAAACAAUAUUUAGUGUGAUGGAAGUUAUGAACUAAUGUCUUUGUUCAUCCUAGCAACUUCUUGAGAGACACUGAAUUUCAGUGUGAGAUUGGGUUUGACAAAACCUCUGUGUAAAUUGCUGGUAAAAUGAGAAGCUGCUCUUCUUCUGUAGCCUACUGUCACAGGUAUGUAGCUUGUUUUAAUUGAUUUAGUAACUCACAUAUAUAUACGUAUCCUCUGCAAACACUCAUGAAAGAUGGUUUUCAGUUUGAACUUGAAUGACUAGAAAAGAGAAACCAGCAACGAGUCAGGAACAAGAGGUGGCUGUGUCAGGCAGUCACACCGACUACCAGCUGAGCUUCAGCAGAGGUCAUCUCCUAACUCCCUAAAGGUUCAGGCUACUCCAGUCCUCACCGCCAAAUUCCCAGCUUCAUAGGAAUUUCCCUUCAUAGUUUGUCUUUCUGAGACUGCCCGAGUGUAUUUAUUUCACAGGCUUCCUGAAAGUCACCACCCUGGGAAGUGGAGGCAGAAUUUCACCAGGUCACCAUCUAGUGACUGGGACCUGUGUGCCCUGCAGCAGAGCUGGGGCUGCUCGACCCCCGGUGCCACCCCGAAACCACCAACGCCAGCUUCUACUUCUUAACCUCCAGCUCAGUGAGUCCCUUUGGCACACUUGCAAGUAUGGAGAUAUAAGGUACUCACUCCAGCAUGGCUUACAUUUUCAGGGAGCUAGAGGAUAAGAAGUCUUUGCAUGAAGAGGAAACUCUCUAAAUUUAGGAAUGCAUCAUCUCAAUAAUUUUAAUAGGAAAAUCACUAGUCAGGUAAAAAAACCAAACCAAAACAAAAACUUUAAGCAGUACAGAAUCCUGUAGAUCCUAACUUAUACCAGGAUUUUAAAGUUUGAGC